rnacentral:rRNA from 1 species
ACUGGAGAGUUGCGUGCUGCUCGGAGAACAUAAGUUUUAACAGCUGCGACUAUUUUAACUGUACUAAGGUAGCAUAAUAAUUUGCCUUAUAAUUUGAGGCUGGAAUGAAUGGUUUGACGAAGGUUAAUCUGUCUCUAUCUUAUUUAUUAGAAAUUAAUUUUAAAGUGAAAAAGCUUUAAUUAUUUAAAGGGACGAGAAGACCCUAUUGAGCUUAUAAUUUGUUAUUAUUAUAAUAAUUUAUUGCUAUAAUAAUAAUAAUAUAAAUUUUAAUUGGGGUGAUUAAGGAAUAAAAUUUAUUUUAGUAACUUCCUUAUAAAUAAAUAUUGUUAAAUUAAGUAACCAAUAUUAAAUAUUGCUUUUAUAAUAGUUACCAUAGGGAUAACAGCGUAAUUUGUUUAGAGAGUUCUUAUUGAAAAAUGAGAUUGCGACCUCGCAUGUUGGAUUAAAAGUAACCAACAAGGUGCAGAAGCUGGCCAGAUAUCUCUGUUA